rnacentral:rRNA from 1 species
AUUGAACGCUGGCGGCAGGCUUAACACAUGCAAGUCGAGCGGAGAUGAGGUGCUUGCACCUUAUCUUAGCGGCGGACGGGUGAGUAAUGCUUAGGAAUCUGCCUAUUAGUGGGGGACAACAUUCCGAAAGGAAUGCUAAUACCGCAUACGUCCUACGGGAGAAAGCAGGGGAUCUUCGGACCUUGCGCUAAUAGAUGAGCCUAAGUCGGAUUAGCUAGUUGGUGGGGUAAAGGCCUACCAAGGCGACGAUCUGUAGCGGGUCUGAGAGGAUGAUCCGCCACACUGGGACUGAGACACGGCCCAGACUCCUACGGGAGGUAGCAGUGGGGAAUAUUGGACAAUGGGGGGAACCCUGAUCCAGCCAUGCCGCGUGUGUGAAGAAGGCCUUUUGGUUGUAAAGCACUUUAAGCGAGGAGGAGGCUCUUCUAGUUAAUACUACUGGAUAGUGGACGUUACUCGCAGAAUAAGCACCGGCUAACUCUGUGCCAGCCGCCGCAGUAAUAC